CUAGGUAAUUUAUAAAGAAUAGAAAUUUAUAUCUCACAAUUAUGGAGUCUAAGAAUUCUGGAGUCCAAGGAAGUCCAAGAUCAAGGCGCCAGCAGAUUUGGUGUCUGGUGAAGGCUGCUCUCCGCUUCCAAGAUGGUGCCUUGAUGUUGCAUCUUCUGAAGGAGAGGAACACUGUGUCCUCACAUGGCAGACAGUAGGAGAGUAAGACGCUUUAACCUCACUCAUGACGGGGGAGUCUUCAUGGUCUAAUCACCUCUUUCAGGUCCCAUCUCUUAAUACUAUCACAUUGGCCAUUAAGUUUCAAUACCUGAAUUUUGGAUGGGACACAUUCAAACUAUAGCAGUGCCCAUUGGCAUUUCUGGAUUGCCAGCCUCUUUAACUCCAAAUCUGAGAAAAUGAGGCACAAAGAGAGCCCAUGGAACUCAUAACCAUAUGAGUUAUGGUACAUUUCUAAAUGUACAUUUCUGCUUCUGGGCUCUACUCUAUUGCAGUUAUCUAUUUGUCUAUUGCUGUGCCAAUAUCAUAGUGUCUUUUUACAUUAGCUUUAUAAUACAGCAACAAUUGAUAGUGCAAAUCCUCCUUUUUCAAGAAUACCUUGACUGUAUUUGGCCCUUUGCAUUUCUGAAUAACUUUUAAAUCAGCUCAUCAAAGUCAACAAAAAAUAUGUUGGAAUUUUGACUGGUAGAGCAUUGAAUCUAUAAAGCUUUUAAUAUCAAAACAUGCAGUGUUUGGUUUUUUGUCCUUGCGAUAGUUUGCCAAGAAUGAUGGUUUCCAGCUUCAUCCAUGUCCCUACAAAGGACAUGAACUCAUCCUUUUUUAUGGCUGCAUAGUAUUCCAUGGUAUAUAUUAUUAUUAUUAUUAUUAUUAUUAUGAUGAUGAAGAGAAUGUACUUACCUCAAUUAUCUCUUUUUUUAAUCUUUUUUAAGGUAAUCAUAGCCUCCUGGUAUUGCACAUUCAUGGGAAUAAUGAAUUUAUUUGGACUAGAAACUAAGACCUGUUGGAAUGUCACCAGAAUAGAACCUCUUAAUGAAGUUCAAAGCUGUGAAGUGGGACUCAACUGGGAGGUCUUAUUACAGUACUGUGCUUCUUUUUCAACCAUGGAGAGGUUUGUUUUCUAGAAAGCAAUUUUUAAGAAAUAGAAGAGGCUGUAGAGGAACAAGGAAAUAUACUCAUCAAAACAAUAUUUAAUUGUAUACUACUUAUGACUUCACAAUAUAUUAAAGACCCUUGUGUUAUAAGUUGAUAUUUUAAGCAUGUUGAUUGAAAUGUUUAAAUAGCCAGAAUUUCAAACAUGAAAUCUCUUGCCUUAUUUUUAGUAAAUAUAUACAUAUACAUAUAUUCUGUAGAGAAAAGGAAAUAUUGUACUUGUUGAGUUGAAUCGUAUCAUGCACAUUAUCUGAUUUAUUCCCACUAAACUUUUUUGUGGGUGGUGGUAGCCUCACCAUACAAGUUAUGAAAUUUAAAUUUAGAGAAAGUUAAGUUACUUAUCCACAUUCCACAUUUACUACAUGAUGAAGCUGGAUUUCCCAUUCUAUAUCUGUCUGCCUCUAAAACCUCACAUAUAUAUUAAUUUAUAUUUUAUAAAUUAUAAAAUUAUAGUUAUAUUUUAUAAAAACUUAUAUAUUAUAUAUAUAACAUAUAUAUUCAACUUUUUUAUUGUGGUCAGAAUAAGUAACAUAUGAUCUGCCCUCUUAAUAGAUUUUUAAGUGUACAAUAUAGUAUUAACACAAUGUUGUAUAGCAGAUCUCCAGAACUUAUUCAUCUUGCCUAACUGAAACUUCGUAUACAUUGCACUCC
ensembl:lincRNA